GUACGAUCACGUUCACAGACCUUUGUCUGAUACAGGUAAACAGCACACACGUAUACCGUGUACACGGAUAGCUUUAAGCGGGGUCUCAGGAAUACUCAGAGGUCACUGAGGCGUGUCCAGCCCCUGGUAUCAUUACAGGUGUGUCUCCAGCGCCAGUGUCUUUCCGGAGAGUUUCGGAUUUUAUCACUAAUACACAUAUAUUGGAUUUUUUACCGACGAUCAAGGUUGUCAUGACAACAUGCUAAGGCUUCUGAUCUAUAUCGCCAGUCUUUACCUGGCCAACGCCCAAGUACGAGAUUGUCCCCUGCUGUGGGUGCGAGAUGACGUUAGCCAGAGAUGUUACCAGUUUGUAUAUGACCAGCAGUCUUAUGAAACUGCCACAAUGUUAU